UUUAGAUUCCACCAUCUAGUCCUUGGGCACUUCCAAGUCUUGUUCUUUUUUCUCACUCUUUUCAUAUGUACAUCCAUCACCAACAAGCGAUGUUGAUUAGCCAAGCUCUCUCCCGGUAUAACUUUGCAAUCCUUACAAGUUCUACGAUCCCCUUUCCUCAUUAGAAGAAAAUCUAUUUGUGUUUUUGACGACCCACUCUUGUAGGUGAUCACAUGUUCUUCUCUCUUCUUAAAGAAAGUGUUGGCUAAGAAGAGAUCAUAUGCCAUUGCAAAAUCCAAGAUAGCUCCCCCAUCCUCGUUUCUCUCCCCAAAACCAUGGCCACCAUGAAAACCUCUAUAGUUGCCUGUCUCCCUGCCCACGUGUCCAUUUAAAUCUCCUCCUAUAAAUAACUUCUCCGUCUGAGCAAUUCCUUGCACCAAGUCUCCAAGGUCUUCCCAAAAUUUCUCCUUCGAACUGAUAUCCAACCCUACUUGAGGUGCGUACGCACUAAUCACAUUGAUGAGUUCUUGUCCUAUUAAAAUCUUAAUUGCCAUGAUUCUAUCUCCUACCCUCUUGACAUCUACAACAUCUUGUGUCAAGGAAUUGUCCACGAUGAUGCCAACACCGUUUCUCGUUCUAUUUGUGCCCGAAUACCAAAGUUUAAACCCUGAGUUUUCUAGAUCAUUUACCUUAAGACCAAACCACUUAGUUUCUUGUAGGCACAUAAUAUUUAUCCUUCUCCUCACCAUAACUUCCACUACUUCUAUAGAUUUUCCAGUUAAGGUUCCUAUAUUCCACGUUCCUAAUCGCAUUCUACUCUCUUAAACUCUACCCUUCUGUCCUAGCUUCUUCACCCUCCCUCGUCUAAUAGGAUCAAAGUACUUCUUUUGUGUGUCCUGUGUAAAGUUGAUAGGAGCAUAUGCUCCCAAACAACUUUGAGUGGAGUCGUUCGAAAAAAAGUUUCUAUGGCCCCCUUGCUCAUUUAACACUGCAUCCGGGUGUCGAUUGUUACAACCACCCCCAAAUAAUUACACCAUUUGUUAUUUCCACCCCCAACUGCCACGUGUCAAUCAUCAAACCUCCCAUCUUUUCCCUUUCUCUGUCCCAUCACCCCCGUGACCUUCUUCUUCUCUGUCCCUCUCAACUCCCCCGUAGCUCUCUCUCUCUCCCUCUCUCUCUCAGCUCUCCCGUACCUCUCUCCCUUAAACUCUCACAUAUCUCUCUUCCCGUGGACUCACUAGGACCGAGUCACCAUCGAAGAGAGGCUCGCAACGAGCCCAGGACCCUACCCUGUGAGUUCGACGACACGGAGCGAGCUUCGGCGAGCACCGCCCCUUUCGAGGCCAUUUCUGACCAAACCACGGCGAGUUGGCCGGCGUGUAAGGUAUUAAUCUCUUCGUCUCCCUGACUACUACAAUUUUCCUUUUUGUUUCACCCAAUUUCGUUGAGUAGUGACAAAGUUAUAGCCAUUUAAAGUUGGGUGGUUUUCCGGCCGAAUCUCCGGCCUUCUCUCUCGGCAAACCAAGGCCAGCCAGCCUUCCCAUUCCCUUCCCUCGGGCCUUAAGCCCAUUAAACCCCAACCCUUUUCUUUUCUUUUUAUUAGCUUAUUGUUUUUAAAACCCAAAAGGGCCUUGGGCCGGUGACAUUUAAAGGGCUUAAAGCCCAGCCUUUUAUUUUAUUGAGGCUUUAAGGCCUUUGUGACUUUGUACCCGUGUGUGUGUGUGUAUGUUUAGGUGUAUGUGUGUGUGUGCUUAUGCAUGCACAUGCAUGCCGUGUGUGUGUGUGUAUAUUUGUAGUGUGUGUGUUUGGGCUAAAGCCCAAACCCCAAUUCUCACCCUAAAAUCAUUUUAACCCAAAACCUUAGAAUUCCAAAACCCAUUAGAUCCUAAUCCUAUUUAACCUAAACCCUAAUCCGGAUUUCAAGUCUAAAACCCGUUUGACCUAGUUUGACUGUUGACCCCCGAUCAACGUUGACUUUAGGGUUGACUUUUCGGGUUUUCGUCCAAGACCUUUCCUAAGCUAAAUUCGACGUUCUGAAUCCAUUUGUGAUGUCCGUUUUCCCAAAUUCAAUCGUUUAAGUAGAGUUUGACUAAAUGUGCUCUUUAUGUGAUUAGGGGCAAUUAUAGUGGCGUUUCCGUCUUCGCUAGUGGCACAGCUUUUGGCAACUAAGUACUGUGAGUAGACCCCUUCUAAAAUUACAUGAUUUUAUAAUUUAAUUGCAUAAAUGAUUAGCAUGCCUACGAGUUUAUGACUUGAUUUAUGUGAAGCCUGUUUAUUAAAUAUAUUGAUUUUCGUCUCGUAUUUUUGGUAAGGAAUUAAUUGUUAGCCUAUAUUGAGCUAUAUUUUGAUAUAUUGUAUUUUCUAUAAAAACCAUGAAUUGGUAGACUAUCCGAUGGAUAACGAUAGGAUGCUAGAACAUGUUUUUGAAACCCCUCUUUAUAGUAUAGACGAUGGAUGACUUUAUACUAUGAAGUGGAUAUUUCGAGAGAUGCGUAACUAUUUGUGCGUGCCUAGUAGACACUAUGCCGCCUGGGGCAAGGAUCUGGUGUUGGCAAUUAGGCCGGGAGAAAUAAUCCCUAGCGAAAGGCAGAGGGACACGGUGACAGGCACUGGGCCGGGAGGGAGUUAUCUCUAGCUACGGGCACAUAGACUUAGGUGCAGGCAUUGGGCCGGGAGUUAUAUUUAUUCGGUGAUCUUUCUAGCAGCACACCGCGUUUAUGAGACGAUUUAUGAGACGUUUACUGUUUUGAUUUCCGCGAUGUUAUUCCGCGAUAUGACUUUUUGAGAUACUUUGGCAUGCUAGGGUUUUUAUUAAAUCCAUCACUUAUUAUGCUAGUAGUUUUCAUUAUUAAACUGUGGGGGUUAUUACUUUGAUAGCUGUUUUAUUAUUAUAUAUAUGAACUUGGUCCACUCACCUUUGUUUUGCGCCCCCAUUCAGGACUUAGAAUCAAGGCACAUAAUCUCGGCGUCAAGACACUUCCGCAGCAGCAUAUUUGAGUCCUCUCGAUGUAGGACCCACUUCUUUAUUCAUUCAAUUUUAUCUUAAUUCUUUUUAGUGAUUAGGUUAGUUGUAUGCUCUGAGCACGUUCCUAAAAUAAAUUAUUUCAUUGUAUUUUAAAUUCAUAACCCUUAUUUAUUUCUUAUUCUUAGCUUUUGUAUCAAUUAAUGGCUUUCGUCACCUUCGGGUGUCGGCCAACACGUGUCUAUCCUGGUAUUCGGGGAAUAUCAGGGUCGGGGCGUGUCACCGAUGGAGAUACAGCGACCCUUACUCACUUAUCACUGUGCUCGGGCCACACAGCGCGCCACUUACGGGUGACGCCCUAGCUUUAGCACAAUUUCGUUCUGAAUUCAUUUUCAUAAGGAUUCGACAUAACCGAGGAGUGCCGGCUGUCGACUACCUGACGCCCUCCCCCUCCUCCUUUAUCCGGGCUUGGGACCGGCAAUGUAAGAUAAACUUACACAGGCGGAGUUGCCACAGAAUCUGAGCAUGAACCAAAAAUCAUAAAAAUAAACAGAAGCAACAUAACAACAGCUUCUUGCUGUCAGAGAAACAUGGAAUGAAUAAACGGAGGAACAAACCCGUAUUUCAAUGUUAUGAGACUACUUCAGAACAGUAAACAUACAAUAUAGCAAACUGUCAAGUACCACGAAAGAGACAAAAAAUAGGAUCUCAUUCUUUCAAUUGUAUUUAAUUACGGAAAGGUCUAAUUAUGUCGUUGAUGCAUCCCUUCACCACUGUAAUGGUAACGACCGCAAUCUUUCAUAAUACGCAUCCCACCAUCUAGUCCUUGGGCACUUCCAAGUCUUGUUCUUUUUUCUCACUCUUUUGAUAUGUACAUCCAUCACCAACAAGCGAUGUUGAUUAGCCAAGAUCUCUCCCGGUAUAACUUUGCAAUCCUUACAAGUUCUACGAUCCCCUUUCCUCAUUAGAAGAAAAUCUAUUUGUGUUUUUUACGACCCACUCUUGUAGGUGAUCACAUGUUCUUCUCUCUUCUUAAAGAAAGUGUUGGCUAAGAAGAGAUCAUAUGCCAUUGCAAAAUCCAAGAUAGCUCCCCCAUCCUCGUUUCUCUCCCCAAAACCAUGGCCACCAUGAAAACCUCUAUAGUUGCCUGUCUCCCUG
rnacentral:lncRNA from 1 species